rnacentral:misc_RNA from 1 species
GCUAACACAAUUUUGCAAAAUAGCAAAUUAGAGUGUUAUUACAUGAAACUUCUAACAAGAACUAGAAGAAAAAUAAUGCAUUGUUGCUGUUGUCAAGAGUGGACCUAGAAGUCCUGACAUAAAGUUCAACCGGAUUCAGUAACUUUUGCUCAACAUUAAAUCUGUGUUUUCUUCAUCGAACAGAAUGCGUUUUAUCUUAGAAAAUUAAAAUUUACAUAAUUCCCAUCUUAAAAGGUUGUGUUUUCUUUGUUUCUCAUACACUGUGAAAGACUAGCAGAGUGCAGCAGCCUUAUAGAUCUUCCCUACAACUAGCAAGAAGGGCUUCUGCUGCCGAAUCCAAAUCAUGAGGAAAGAAAACCCUGCACGUAUUAUGGUACAGUGUCUGGCUCAGUUGGUCUAUGUCAGCGAUACCUUUAGUGCCUGCAACAACUUCAAGCACUUGCCGAACUAAGCAAGGCUCGUUGCGACCUUUGACAAGGCAUUCUUGAUCAUGCUUAUCCUUUUUCUUUGAAGGCCAUGAGGAUUUCACAUACCUUAUCCCAGCAUGUGUAUUCUUAAUAUCACAGUAUGGUGAAUCUGUUUCAAUCAUCAUUCGCUCAACAGGUAUACCCUUUACAACUUCAAGGUUCUCAGCUGUCUUGAGAGAGCAACCAUUUAUUCCUAUAAAAACAUUACUAAAUGAAAGAAGUUUAUCACAAUCUUCAGCACUUCCAGUGAAAGAGUGUGCAAUGCCAGCAACAAACCGAUCCUUAUUUCGUUGAAGAAUGUCACAGAAAUCCUGAGAAGCUGCUCGCAUGUGAAGAAACAUUGGCAGCUUCAUUGUAUAUGCCAACUCAAACUGUUUUUCAAAGUACUUCUUCUGAAUGUCAGAUGGACAAAAGUGAAGUCUAUCAUAGUCCAACCCACAUUCGCCAAUCGCAACCACUUUUCCUUUUUCUUUUCCCUCUUUAGCCAAUGUCAAAAGAUCCUGCAAAUGCUUUUCUGGAUCCCCACUGUCUUCAAAUUCUUUGCAUCUUGUCGGGUGCACUCCCACAGUACAGAAAAGUCUUGCAUCUGUUUCAGCAAUGGCAAGAGCUUCCUUUGAUUCUUCAAGAGAGCCACCAGUUACUAUUAUUCUUUCAACUCCAGCACUCCACGCCCUUUUCAACACAGCUUGAAUGUCACCCAUAUGAUACUGUUUUCCAUUGUAUAUCCCUUUGAACAUGCUAUCAGUGAAAUUGACGGCUAUAUCAAUCAUUCGUACAGUCGCCAUUGCAGCUGAAGAUGUUUUCG